AUUGAACGCUGGCGGCAGGCUUAACACAUGCAAGUCGAGCGGGGUGAUGGUGCUUGCACUAUCACUUAGCGGCGGACGGGUGAGUAAUGCUUAGGAAUCUGCCUAUUAGUGGGGGACAACAUCUCGAAAGGGAUGCUAAUACCGCAUACGUCCUACGGGAGAAAGCAGGGGAUCACUUGUGACCUUGCGCUAAUAGAUGAGCCUAAGUCGGAUUAGCUAGUUGGUGGGGUAAAGGCCUACCAAGGCGACGAUCUGUAGCGGGUCUGAGAGGAUGGUCCGCCAAACUGGGACUGAGACACGGCCCAGACUCCUACGGGAGGCAGCAGUGGGGAAUAUUGGACAAUGGGGGGAACCCUGAUCCAGCCAUGCCGCGUGGGUGAAGAAGGCCUUAUGGUUGUAAAGCACUUUAAGCGAGGAGGAGGCUCUUUUGGUUAAUACCCAAGAUGAGUGGACGUUACUCGCAGAAUAAGCACCGGCUAACUCUGUGCCAGCCGCCGCCGUAA
rnacentral:rRNA from 1 species